UGGGGAAGUGAUGCAAGGACCAUUUCUUGAUGAUGGAGGUGCACCGGGCCUCCAGGGAAAAAAGCUACUGAUAUCUCAAGACAGUGUUUUACAUGGAG